rnacentral:rRNA from 1 species
UACAGAGGGUGCAAGCGUUGCUCGGAAUUAUUGGGCGUAAAGGGUAGGUAGGUGGUUCUGUUUGUCAGGGGUGAAAGCCUUGGGCUCAACCUGAGAAGUGCCUUUGAAACGGCAGAACUAGAGUCCUGGAGAGGGUCGUGGAAUUCCCGGUGUAGCGGUGAAAUGCGUAGAGAUCGGGAGGAACACCAGAGGCGAAGGCGGCGACCUGGACAGGAACUGACACUCAACUACGAAAGCGUGGGUAGCAAACAGG